rnacentral:rRNA from 1 species
UACGGAGGGUCCAAGCGUUAUCCGGAAUCAUUGGGUUUAAAGGGUCCGUAGGCGGAUAUUUAAGUCAGAGGUGAAAUCUCCGAGCUCAACUCGGAAACUGCCUUUGAUACUAUUUAUCUUGAAUUUCGUUGAUGUUGGCGGAAUCUAUCAUGUAGCGGUGAAAUGCAUAGAUAUGAUAUAGAACACCGAUUGCGAAGGCAGCUGGCUGGACGAACAUUGACGCUGAGGCACGAAAGCGUGGGUAGCGAACAGG